rnacentral:tRNA from 1 species
GGCGCGGUAGCUCAGUCGGUAGAGCAGAAGUCUUGCCGAUCCUUGUCGCGCCGCUUUUUUCGAUAAUUUUGGGCGAAUGCGGGUGGAACUACAUCUACCCCGGAAGUCGCGGGUUCGAUCCCCGUCGGUCCCG